GUUGGUAAGGUAACGGCUUACCAAGGCAACGAUGCAUAGCCGACCUGAGAGGGUGAUCGGCCACACUGGAACUGAGACACGGUCCAGACUCCUACGGGAGGCAGCAGUAGGGAAUCUUCCGCAAUGGGCGAAAGCCUGACGGAGCAACGCCGCGUGAGUGAUGAAGGUCUUCGGAUCGUAAAACUCUGUUAUUAGGGAAGAACAUAUGUGUAAGUAACUGUGCACAUCUUGACGGUACCUAAUCAGAAAGCCACGGCUAACUACGUGCCAGCAGCCGCGGUAAUACGUAGGUGGCAAGCGUUAUCCGGAAUUAUUGGGCGUAAAGCGCGCGUAGGCGGUUUUUUAAGUCUGAUGUGAAAGCCCACGGCUCAACCGUGGAGGGUCAUUGGAAACUGGAAAACUUGAGUGCAGAAGAGGAAAGUGGAAUUCCAUGUGUAGCGGUGAAAUGCGCAGAGAUAUGGAGGAACACCAGUGGCGAAGGCGACUUUCUGGUCUGUAACUGACGCUGAUGUGCGAAAGCGUGGGGAUCAAACAGGAUUAGAUACCCUGGUAGUCCACGCCGUAAACGAUGAGUGCUAAGUGUUAGGGGGUUUCCGCCCCUUAGUGCUGCAGCUAACGCAUUAAGCACUCCGCCUGGGGAGUACGACCGCAAGGUUGAAACUCAAAGGAAUUGACGGGGACCCGCACAAGCGGUGGAGCAUGUGGUUAAUUCGAAGCAACGCGAAGAACCUUACCAAAUCUUGACAUCCUUUGACAACUCUAGAGAUAGAGCCUUUCCCUUCGGGGGACAAAGUGACAGGUGGUGCAUGGUUGUCGUCAGCUCGUGUCGUGAGAUGUUGGGUUAAGUCCCGCAACGAGCGCAACCCUUAAGCUUAGUUGCCAUCAUUAAGUUGGGCACUCUAAGUUGACUGCCGGUGACAAACCGGAGGAAGGUGGGGAUGACGUCAAAUCAUCAUGCCCCUUAUGAUUU
rnacentral:rRNA from 1 species